CUGGCCGUAAACGAUGGACGCUAGGUGUGGGCGGUUUAUCCGUCUGUGCCGAAGUUAACGCGUUAAGCGUCCCGCCUGGGGAGUACGAUCGCAAGGUUGAAACUCAAAGGAAUUGACGGGGGCCCGCACAAGCGGUGGAGCGCGUGGUUUAAUUCGAUGCAAACCGAAGAACCUUACCUGGGUUUGACAUGCAGGUGGUACGAGCCCGAAAGGGUGAGGACCGCACCUUCGGGUGCGGAGCCUGCACAGGUGC
rnacentral:rRNA from 1 species